AUAUUUAAAGCCAUUGACUUUAGUGUAGUAUCUGUUCUUAUCAGUUUAUUACUGGAUAUGUUUUUUUUUAUGAGCAUGUUUUAUUAAACAGAUUCUUAGAGCAGAGAGUUAUAAUAGUGGCUUGCUCCUUCUGCUCCACGCAUCAACCUGUGAUUCUAGUACCUCCAGGAAUAGUGCCCUCAUU